rnacentral:lncRNA from 1 species
GGAAAUUAAUGGCCCAGAGGACCUCUAAGGAAGUUGCCUGGCGCACCAAUGUUUUGAAGAAAAACUUGGAGCAGCCUUGUUUUCAUGUCGCAAUUCCCAUGUAUUUUGCUAGAGCAAUAAGAGAUGAAUUCAGUUUGCAGUUGUCUGAAUAUCGAAGUUAUCUUGCAGCAUACAAGUCUUCCUUGUUUAUAACAAGAACUGGUAUACUCGAGGGUGUGAAAACUGCUUCUGCUACAUAUUACUAUAUAUGAUCCAAUUUUUUGUUCAAUUAUCCAUCAGUUAGUUUAUUGGAAGGUUUACGAUGAUGACGACUCUCUGCAUUUCUUAUUAUCUCAUGGAAAUUUUGGUGAUGUCCGUAUUUAGUUCACAUCAAGUCUGGUGAAAACCUAAAAAUCAAGACUAUUAAUUUGACUCUAGAAGUUCAAUCUAGAACUGGUGUAGAACUAGCGUGGGGUGAGUUUUAAAUUAAAUCAGGCAAUAAUUGACUUGAUUAACUUUGGUUUGACUUAAAUGAUAUUGUUUUGACAUUUAGAAUUUCACAUUAUGAUGGGCCGAUGGCAAUAAGAUUGGUUGUUAUACUUGUAUGUAUUUAUCACUUUGGUACCCUAUCAUUGAAAGCUUCCAAUCCUUAACAAAAUUUGGCAAAUUUUUCAUCAUUUUAGGCAUAGAGGGAAGCAAUUGAAAGAAAAAUUCAAGGAUGGAAAAACAUUUGUUACAAUAAAUGUCGUUAUGUUAUAAUUCAAUCCUUAAAAAAAUUUGACAAUUUUUUUUUUAGCAUUCUAGGUUUAGGUUUAGAGGGAUGCAUAGAAAGAAAAAAAGGUUGAAAAAAUUAUUGCCACAGUAAACAUCCUAAGCAUUUUAGUAUAUGUUACUAGCUAUUUGACUGCGUUCCGUCACCGGUUGGAUAUUUUUUUUCCAACAAAAAUAAUGAACAUGCAAGAUUUCUUGACACAUUUUCUUACCUGAAAAGUAUUAAGUGUAAAUUGAAAAACAUAUGCAUAUAUCUAAUUACAUAAAAUAAAAAACUAUUUGUGUCAGUAAAUAAAUAAAAAGUUAUAAACAAUAACUAAAUACAUAUCUGAAAAAGUCGAGAGGCGGAUGUAGAUCAAGAUAUUUAAUAUUGUAACACAGGGUAUUUACAUGAUUGUGUUCAUCACGCUAUUUAUUAAAAUCAAUUUUUUAUUUAAUCAAAUAAUAGUAGAAAUAGACACACAUGGAAAAUUGAUUGAAUAAAAUUAAAGGGAAAAAAAUAUCUUUCAAGGUUGCACUUAUUUGAAAUACUAUCAAAAAAUAUUUUUUUAAAAAAAGUUUCAAUUAUAUAAAACAUAAAAUAAAUUAUAGUUGAAUUAGAAUAAUCUCUUUAAAAAUUAAAUACAAACAAAAUAAAUAAAUAAAACCACUAUUUUAAAAAAGCUAAAUACAAAAAAUAAGAAAUCAGAGAGAAAAUAUUAAUUUAAAUAUAAAUAAAAAAAUAAUUUUAAAAAACUCAUAAAAAACAUGAUUUUUUAAAAGGCAAAAUUACCAAAAAAAAAAAAAAAGAAAUAGGGCUCGCACGUGGACUCUGUUUUUUUUUUUUUUUUUUGAAAAAUGAAAUCAUCCCUCCAUUAUUUUUUGAAAAAAUAUUCUAGACGACUCAUCGUCUGGUUUUCCCCAUAUUCCAGUCGCUGUGGUGGCAAAAAAAACAAGAUAUAUUUUUUUCCAGCUCGUUUUGAUCCAGAACCCCUAAAAAAUAGUCUAAACACCUUUAAAAACGCAUUAAUGGCCUUAAGAAAAAAUCACAUAAAAACUUGAAACAAAAAAUAUUAUCGAGCUUAGAUCUGGUUCUUAAGAAAAUUUCAAGGUGAAAAAACACAUAAGUAGAACUCUCAUCACCAAAUGGAACUCGUUGAUACCAAGAUCAACCAUUUUGGUGGUCAGAUAAUCAACUCUCUCUACCAUUGGAAUCAAGCAAUCUCUCUCUUUUCUCUCAAACCAUGAACUAGAAAAUAACAAAAAUGAGAUUUUAUUUUAAAAUUGAAUUUCAAAAAUAUUGAGGGGCCUAAAAGGUAUAAUUUGUAAAGUUUGAGGACUAAAAUAAACUUUUUAUGAGAACUUGAAACCAUCACCCAUUGUGGUGUCUUUUCUACUUUGAUUCUCCAUCUUUUAAUUUAAUUCUCUAUCAACAAAUUUGAUUCAAUUAUUCUUUAAAUUGGUCUAAAAAGGAUACAAUUGCACAAAAAAAAGUUUAAAGAUCAAAAUAAAAACAACGAGUCUAUAUUAAAAUGUAAGAGGGUAAACAAUGUGUGUAUGCAUAAUGUUUUACCCAUAAGUCAUAACGUUCAUCGUUUUGUCAUACAACAACAACAAUAUAACUAGGCGUUUUAGUAUAUAUUGAUCAUUGACCCGCGUUACCCUGCAGACCAAGUUAAAUUUUUCUUGAACUUCAAAAAAAAUACUCAGAUGUUGCUACUAUUUUUUUCUGGUGAAAAAAAAAAUCUAAACCUUAUGGAGAUUGACUUGAUGUGACAUGGUUAACUUUGUGGGUCCAAAAGCAAAUGAGACGAAUCAUAAAAAAUAUAGUUUGACUCAAAAUAAAAUUUUAGGAUGCCAUUUUUUUUAAUAUCAAGAUAACAACAUAUUGAAUUGACUUGAGUCAACUUGAGUUAACAUGUCUACUCUACAACUCGAGUCAUGAAACUAUGAUAACCCCAUUAAAACAAAUUAUGAAGCAUAAUUCCUAAUCAACCUAAUAUUUUAGGAUAAAAUUAAAAAAAAUUUAAAAAAGACCUAAAAAAUAGCCUCGGAUUAACCUGUCAAACUCGCAACCUAAGUCAUAAGACCAAGAUAACCCCUUAAAAAGCAAAUCAAUACAAAUUAUAAAGUCCAAUAAUCAACCCAAUGUUUAAAGACAUGAUUAGAAAAGGAAAUCAAUUUUAAAAAGAACAUAAAAAACAACCCGAGUUAAUCAGCCAAACCCAUGACUCAGCUCAUGGGACCGAGAUAGCCUCAUAGAAAGAAAAUAAAAAGACGAUUUGAUUUAACUCGGGUUAACCUGUCAAAUCCAUAGCUCUAGUCAUGAAACUGAUAUAACACAUUAGAGAGCAAAACAAACAAAUUAUGAAGUUCAAUUCUCAAUCGACCUCGUUGGAUUCAAUAUUGAACAAUAAAAUUUGAAAAUACAUUUAAUUAAAAAAAUGAGUCAAGUCAACCCGAAUUAACUCGUUAAGGAUUAUUCUUUGGUUAUAAGGACCUAUAAACCAAAUCACAAAACUAAGAUAACUUCUUAAAAAGAAAAGAAAAAAAAACAACAACCUGAUUUAACCAGAGUUAAAAUGACAAAACUCAUGACACUGACCAUGAGACCAAGAUAUUCCUAUAAAAAAAAAUUAAAACAUAUUAUAAAGCUUAAUUUUGAACCGAUUCAAUGUUGAAUGAUGAAAUUAAAAAAAAAAUUCAAAUAAAAAAAGAUAAUACAAACAAUCCGAGUUAACUUGAGUUUACCUAUUAAAUAUUAUUCCGAGGUUAUAAGGUUGGAAUAACCUAAUAUAAAAUAAACAAAAUAAAUCAUAAAAAAUAAUUUUAAAUCAAUUCAAUAUUAAAUAAUAAAAUUAAAAAAAUUAAAAAAAAAAUUUUAAUCAAUGAGGUUAACCGCCUCCUUUAUUAUUUAUGUUAUUUAUGUCACGAAAGAAGGGCAGUAAAAAAUAAAUUUAAUAUUAAAAAAUAUUUUUUUAUUAAAACACUGAGUAAAAAAAAAUUAGUACAAUAAAACAAACCAUCUUCUAGGUUUUUUUUUUUUAAAAAAAAUAAUUAUAAUUAUAAUAUAAUUUGCUGUUUCAUCAUCGUCGACACGCCAGUGUUUCCCGUUCAUUCCCACAUACUUUUCUUCCCGAAACUUCUGCAUUUAGAGACGGACGAUCCUGCUUCCCCAAAUCCCUUUCUUCAAUAUUCCAGAUUUGUUACAAAGUGUCUCUGUCGUAUUGGUCAAUAAAAAACCAGACCACUUCAUGAUGAUGGCGGCGGCGGCGGCGGUGAGACGUCGAGGUUCAGAAGCCUUUUUUAUUGGGGCCCAAAUUCAGCGAUGUCAAAUGAAAAUAAUGGGUAUGAUUCUUCUUCUAUCUCCAACCACUUUAUCACUGUUGUCUACCAACCACUCCAACUCCAUUUCUUCCUCUAGCAGUAGCAGUAGAUAUAAACACAGCAAUGAUGCUUCUUUAUUUAGAAACAUUGAUGAUGCCCUUUCUUGUUUCAAUCACAUGCUUCAUAGGAAACCCCUGCCUUGUAUCAUCCAAUUCAAUAAAUUAUUAUCUGCAAUUGUCAAAAUGAGACAGUAUUACGAUGCUGUGAUUUCUCUUUCCAAACAAAUGGAAUUAGCUGGGCUCUCUCCUAAUACUUAUACCCUUAAUAUGUUGAUUAAUUGCUUCUGCCAGUUGCAACGUAUUGAUCUUGGGUUCUCUGUCUUGGCCAAAGGCAUUAAACUUGGUCUUCAACCCACUAUUGUCACAUUUAACACCUUAACCAAUGGGCUCUGUAAAGUGGGUAAAUUUUCCCAAGCCGCGGAAUUAUUUGAUGACAUGGUGGCAAGAGGGUGUCAACCUAAUGUCCACACUUAUAAUACAAUUAUCAAUGGCUUAUGUAAGAUCGGGGAAACUGCUGCUGCUGCUAGAUUGUUUAAGAAAAUGGAAGAGGCAGGCUGCCAGCCUAAUGUGGUGACAUACAGUACAAUCAUUGACGGUCUUCGCAAAGAUAGGCGGGUGAAUGAGGCUUUAGAUAUCUUCUCUUAUAUGAAGGCUAAAGGCAUUUCCCCUGAUAUUUUCACUUACACCUCUUUAAUCAAGGGCUUAUGCAAUUCCAGCCGAUGGAAGGACGCUUCAGCAAUGCUAAAUGAAAUGAGGAGUUUGAAUAUCAUGCCAGAUAGUGUCAUCUUCAACGUGCUAAUUAAUACAUUUUGUAAAGAAGGCAAGGUUUCACAGGCUCAAGGUGUGUUAAAAACAAUGACUGAAAUGGGUGUGGAGCCUGAUGUUGUUACUUACAGCUCAUUGAUGUAUGGAUAUUCCUUGUGUAUGGAAGUUGUUGAAGCUAGAAAGCUUUUUGAUGUCAUGAUAACCAAGGGUUAUAAACCUGAUGUUUUUUGUUAUAACAUCUUAAUUAACGGAUAUUGUAAGGCCACAAGGAUAGAUAAGGCCAAGCAACUUUAUAAUGAAAUGAUUCUUCAAGGCUUAACUCCGGACAAAGUUACUUACAACACCCUUAUUCAUGGCUUGUGCCAAUUAGGCAGGCUUAGGGAAGCACAAGAUCUUUUCAAGAAUAUGCACAAGAAUGGCAACCUCCCAGAUUUAUUUGCUUACUCAAUAUUGCUCGAUGGCCUUUGCAAACAAGGGUAUCUUGGAAAGGCAUUCAGAUUGUUUCGAGCAAUGCAAAGUUCCUCCUUGAAGCCUGAUCUGGUGAUGUAUAACAUCCUGGUUGAUGCCAUGUGCAAAUCCGGGAAUCUUAAAGAUGCAAGGGAACUGUUUUCAGAACUCUUUGUCAAAGGGUUGCAGCCUAAUGUUCAGAUAUACACUACAAUAAUAAAUGGACUUUGUAAAGAAGGAUUGUUAGAUGAAGCAUUGGAAGCUUUCCGAAAUAUGGAAGAGGAUGGCUGCCCUCCAGAUGAAUUUUCUUAUAAUGUUAUUAUCCGAGGAUUUCUCCAGCACAAGGAUGAAUCAAGGGCAGUGCAUCUUAUUGGUGAAAUGAGAGACAGAGGUUUCAUUGCAGAUGUGGGGACCACAACGUGGUAGAAAAUCUGUUAUCUAAUGAAGACAAUCCUGUUCUGAAGAAGUAUCUAGGCUUACUUGAAUCUCGUCAAGGUGAAAAGGUGAUGUCAUUUUUUCACGCCGCUAAUUCAUGUUGCAAAUAUUAGGCAUCUUUUUUUCUCUCUGGUUAAUUUAUUGUUAGUUCAGUCUUGUCAAAAUCUUGACAAUGACACCAAUUACUAGCUUUGUUUCACAAAUCAUAAUACUUGUUUUGGACAAGCAUUCACUUCUCUAGGUUUAUACACGCACAUUUAUGUUUGUCACUAAAUACGUGUGGAAUUGAGUUAAAGUGAUGAAUCCAUUUUUCUCAUUAGCGAUUAAACUAGUGUAAAUUUUCAUCAUCUUGGGUAACUUCAAAAACACUUUUCUUAAAGCAAACAAGACAUAAUUUAAGUGCUACUGCAUGUAGAAGGUUCUCAAUUACUGUGCCUUAUGGAUGCAGGUGGAUGCUACCCCUAAUUCUGCAAAUGAGAAACAAAUAAAUAUGCAAGCAGCCCUAGUGAGUUUGGAUUAUUUUGUGUUUUGUUCUGUUUGCAAAGUUGGGUAAUAUUUGUUUUCAUGGUUGAAUAUGUAUGGUAUGUUUCCUUGAAAGAGCAUCAUAUAUUCAUUUUUAGUGUUGGACAACUGAUUUUCAUGAUGUUUGAUGAUAAUGAUAUAGCAACACGCAAGUGGAAUUCGAUAGAGAAGUUUUAAUCUAAUUUUUAUUAUAAUUGGAUGGUUGGUAUCAUUUGUGUGAAUAAAUAAGAGAUUCUCCAGUGAGCACUCAAUAUGAUCCUUCGUUGCUAAGUUUUCUGGAAAAAUAAAAUAGGAGAAGGUAGGUUGGGGGCCAGGUUUUCAUGGAUGCCAAAGGAUCAAUCUUUCCAAAGUAAUACUCCCAUAUCUAUUCUUCCAUUUUGGCUUAUUCAAAAUCUUAAUGCAUAAAAGGGCAUCUAUUUCUUAGAUGCAUAAUUGGCAAGACCUCCAAGUAUCUCCUCUGUUUUUCCUUCUUUUGAGGGUAACAUAAGCCAAUGCUAUUACUUAGCCUCCUCUGUUUCUUUCUCUGUGAUGCUUUUGCUGUAGUUUCAUCAGAAUCUAGGAAUCUAGAAUUUCUGGAAUUGUGUUGUUAUUUUUCUUAUGUAUAGCCUGUAAAUUCAUGGUCAAAUCUAGAGAUUGCUGACAUCCUUUAUAAUACUUAAUUUCUGAUAAACAUUUCUGGUAUAGUUAUUCAAGCAAAAUGCCAUUCAUAUAGAGGACAAAGAGAAAAGAGAGAGGGAGAUGAGAAAACAGAUCAUCAAUAAAACUAAAGAUUAUGAGCAAGCUUUUUAAGCGGGAAAAGCUGCAAACUUGUGAAACCAAAAGAAUCAGAGUGCAACAUUUACUCCUUCCAAUUUCAUAUGAUCUCUUUUGGAUUCCCACUUUUUUUAUUCCCCACACCUUAAAGAGCCGAUAAAAUAGAAAAUAGGAAUCGACGUUGCUGAAAUUACAAAAUUAUUAGGGCUUGACUGCAUAAAUUCCGAAUUUAUUGAAUUAUUUAUUAAUUGGUUGAAUUUUUUUGUGAAUUUUGUGUGUGAAAGUGGGGAAGCGCAGCAAGUUGAGUGGAGUAAGAUUCAGACACCUACUGAUGAAGUAGUGGUUCCCUUUGGGACAAGAUGUUGUUUUGAAGCUUAAUGGAGGUUUAGUCCUAGGUAUGUAAACUUUUGUUUGUUAUGUUUGGUGCAUUUUAAUCUGUACAUCAAAUUGCCAGGGAAGAAAAAGAAGGCUGGUGACCACAGCUUGAUGGUUGUUGUUUUUUUGGUUGAAACAAUUUACCCUUUUGUUUGUGGUGCAGAAUGGAGGUUUUGGAGAUAUAUAUGACAUUGAACUUGAUUUAUGUUGUUGUGUUUCUUGACCUUAUUGUCAUCCAGAUCGAGGUGAGUGUUUGUUGUUGCUCUUCUCUUCUGCUUUGAUUUUGAUUUGGUUCUGUUGUUGCAUGGAACUAACUGUUAAAGUUGCUGCAGAAUCUUAACAACAAAUAUGGGUGCAGCGUUCCCUUGUUUCUAAUGAACCCAUUCAACACUCAUGAUGAUACACAGAAGGUGCCUGAUCCUUACCUUUUUCUCCUGCUCUGUGUCUUGUCCUUGUUAGAUUUUGCUUGUAUAGUAACACCAGUUGUUGUCCAACUUAGAUUAUUGAGAAGCACUCAAUAAUGAAGGUGCAAGAAACACCAUUGAUCAGUACCCUUUAGAUAAAGGCAAGAAACACCAUUGAGGUGCUCAUGUACAGUAUUGAGGUAAAUGGCACCAGUGGAGAAGAGGUAGAUUAACCCACUUGAGGCUGGCAGCAUUCCUGUAAUUGAAAAUGAUUGUUCAUUUCCUUCAAUCCAUCUGGCAUUUGCUUAGCAGUUUGCCUUGAUAGCAAUGGAAUUAGCACUCAUUUACGCUAUUUUUGGAGACUAUCUUAAUUGAGUUCUUGUCCAACUGAUUCUGUUUGAAACAGGUCAAUGAGUUCACGCCGAUUGAGAAGUUCAAAAUUUUCAAUAAGAACAACUUGUAAGUAAACCUUGCCAUCAAUGCAGCAAUUAUACUUUGAUAUGCUACUAACAAUAUAUGCUAUAACAGGUGGGUGAACUUGAAAGCAAUCAAAAGGCUUGUGGAAGCUGAUGCACUUAAGAUGGAGAUUAUUCUAAACCCAAAGGUAUGUUCUUAUUUCUUUCCUUUCACCUGUUGUUUCUUUAUUUCCAGAAAUGAAAAAUUACAAUUUUAGAAUGGCUAAUUAUGAUAAUGUUAAUCUUGCUAUCAGGAUGUGGAUGGAGUCGAAUUUCUUCAGCUAGAAACUGCAGCUGGAGCAGCAGUUAGGGUACUUGAUACUCUACAUAAUUUUUCAUGAGGUUUUUAUUUUGAAAUCACACAUUUGAUGCAAUUUUUCCUCGUCUACCAGUUCAUUGACCAUGCAAUUGGUAUAAAUGUACCUUGAUCUCGAUUCCUUCCAGUGAAGGCUUCUUCAGAUCUGCUUCUUGUUCAGGUUGCUUUCUUUUCUUUCACUGCCAUUAGAUCUUGGAGAACUGUUUGCAACUCGCUUAACUCAUUUGGUUGCCUCUUUUGCAGUCUGAUCUUUACACUUUAGUUUAUGGCUUUGUCGUCCAAAAUCCAGCUAGAACAAAUCCUGCAAAUCCUUUUAUCAAACCGGGCCCAGAAUUUAAGAAGGUGAAAAAUUAUUUGAUAACAAGCACCCUUAUGAGUUCUUUUAAUAUAUAUAUAUAUAUAUAUAUAUAUAUAUGAUUUUUUUCUCCUCCUGGCAGGUUGCAAACUUCUUGAGCCGAUUUAAGUCAAUCCUUGUAUCAUUGAGCUCGAUUGUCUUAAGGUUGCUGGUGAUGUAUGGUUUGGUGCUAAUAUUAUUCUCAAGGUAUUACAUGUUCUUUUGUUACUUUUUUAUGCUCACUAUUUAACCAUUUGCCCCCAUGUAUAUGUGUACCCUUGGGAAAUUAGGUGAUGAAGUUGCAAGUGUUUUCAACUUUUACUAACUUGAAUACCUAUCCUGAAUGUUGUAUGGUGUUACUGGUGAAAAAACCAUAUAUUUUAUAAGGUGCUUGUAUUAUGAUACAAGGAACCGAUUGGUGUUAAAACAAAGGCCAUUGAAUUGUUAUGGUCCCACGAAAGUUGGUUUCAUAUGAUGAGGAAAAAUUUGGAGAUUAACCUUCGCAUUGAAAUGGUCUGAGGUGGCCGUCUCAAGAGAUGUCAUCUCACUUUUAGAAGUUCACUCUGUGGAGUCUGAUUCCAGUUUUGUUGACUCACUAUACUCCCAAUUUCUUUGCAAAUGACCGUUUUUACCCUGUGCUCGUUCUACAAAAACUAUUAAUAAACUCUUCGUCUAACAUCAUUUUGGAAGAGUGUUUUCCUUAGCUGGGUGCUGAUAUUUCUUUUUGUAUAAUCAUGGGCAAAGGUAACUGUUUUUACUGUACAGAGAUCUUUUAGAUCCUGUUUGGCAAUGCGGCUAGCUGUGUUUUUGCUAAAAAUUUGAAUUAUUUUUGCUUAAAAUUAUUUUUUUGAUGUUUUUUUGAUCGUUUUAAUGUGCUAAUGUAAAAAAUAAAUUUUAAAAAAUAAUAAUUUUUUUCGAUAUAUUUCUCAGUAAAAAACACUUUAAAAAUCAACCGUUAUAAUAAUAGUGACCACUGCUCUUUAUGUGCCGUAGGAUGGGUGUAUUUAGGAAAAUUAGGAGAUGAGGUGUUUGGAACUUUUACUAACUUGAAUACCUAUCCAUAUUAUAGCGUGGUGUUCCUAGUUGAAAAACCAUGUAAUUUGUAAGGUUCUUAUAUUAGUACAAGCAAUCGAUUGGUGUUAAAAAAAAAAGGCCAUUGAAUUGUUAUAGUCCCACAAUACAAAAAGCCAUUGAAUUUUUUAUAGUCCCUCGAAAGUAAGUUUCACAUGAUGAGGCAAAUUUGGGGUUUAACCUUUCCAUUGAAAUGAUCUGAGGUGGCCUCUCACUCAAAAGUUCCCUCUCUUGAGUCUGAUCCCAGUUCUGUUGACUCGCCAAACUCCUAGUGACCAUUCUUACCCUGUGCCCAUGCUACAAAAAUUAUUAAUAGACUCUUGGCCUAACAUCAAUUUGGAAGGGUGUUUUCCUUAGCUCGGUGGUGAAACUUAUUUUUGUAUAAUAAUGGGCGUAGAUGACUGUUUUUACUGUAUAGAGAUCUUUUAGUGACCAGUAUUGAUUCUCAACAACUUGCGACUUGUAUAGAUCCCUUUAUCUUUAACGUGUUGCAUGUAAUUAUUGAUUUGUUGCCUUAGUCUCUCUGGGUAAAAGCCUUCAUGACCGACACUUGCCAUUCUGUUCCAUCACCUCUGCAGGGAAAAGUGAGCGUCGUGGUGAAAUCUGGUGUGAAACUGGAAAUACCAGAGGGAGUCGCUCUUGAAAACAAGGUAAGAUGCUAAACUUGAAUGAUUUAUCAUAAUUAAAACAUUCUUUGUAUUGGCUCACCAUGGAGUUACCAAUCUCUUUUUCUGUGCCCAGGAAAUUAAUGGCCCAGAGGAC